rnacentral:rRNA from 1 species
AGAUUAAGUUAUUAAGGGCGCACGGUGGAUGCCUUGGCACUAGAAGCCGAUGAAGGACGUUACUAACGACGAUAUGCUUUGGGGAGCUGUAAGUAAGCUUUGAUCCAGAGAUUUCCGAAUGGGGAAACCCAGCAUGAGUUAUGUCAUGUUAUCGAUAUGUGAAUACAUAGCAUAUCAGAAGGCACACCCGGAGAACUGAAACAUCUUAGUACCCGGAGGAAGAGAAAGAAAAUUCGAUUCCCUUAGUAGCGGCGAGCGAAACGGGAAGAGCCCAAACCAAAAAGCUUGCUUGUUGGGGUUGUAGGACACUCUAUACGGAGUUACAAAGGACGACAUUAGACGAAUCAUCUGGAAAGAUGAAUCAAAGAAGGUAAUAAUCCUGUAGUCGAAAAUGUUGUCUCUCUUGAGUGGAUCCUGAGUACGACGGAGCACGUGAAAUUCCGUCGGAAUCUGGGAGGACCAUCUCCUAAGGCUAAAUACUCUCUAGUGACCGAUAGUGAACCAGUACCGUGAGGGAAAGGUGAAAAGCACCCCGGAAGGGGAGUGAAAUAGAACCUGAAACCGUGUGCUUACAAGUAGUCAGAGCCCGUUAAUGGGUGAUGGCGUGCCUUUUGUAGAAUGAACCGGCGAGUUACGAUUUGAUGCAAGGUUAAGCAGUAAAUGUGGAGCCGUAGCGAAAGCGAGUCUGAAUAGGGCGUUUAGUAUUUGGUCGUAGACCCGAAACCAGGUGAUCUACCCUUGGUCAGGUUGAAGUUCAGGUAACACUGAAUGGAGGACCGAACCGACUUACGUUGAAAAGUGAGCGGAUGAACUGA